rnacentral:lncRNA from 1 species
AAGCGAGAGACACAACUUGUCUUUCUGUGUAGAUCUGCAGAGUCUGCAACACCAUGUUGAUUGCUUCGUCGAGAUGGUGAAGAUGAUGGAGGAAGAGUACUUCAUUGAAGUAAAGAAUAUGCCUGAAGAAGAAGGCGAGCCUAUUUCAUCAAGAAUUGAUUCUGGUGGAAUGAUCAAGUCAAAGAUGGUUGGAUUAUCUUAUGAAUUUCAACAGCCAGAGAUUAUCUUCUUGAAGGAAAUAACAAUCUACCCUAUUCGAUUAUUGGGAUGGCGGGCGUUGGAAAGACAACUCUUGCUAAACAUAUUUUUGAAGAUCCAUCAAUUCAGAGCCAUUUUGAGUUUCGAGCAUGGGUCAGAGUGGGCAGAAAAUGCGAAUUUGAUGAACUAUUACUAAGCGUUCUAGCACAAGUGGAUCCCAACGCUUACGAAAUGCUUACCCAAGGAGAUGAUGAUGAGGAAUUAGUUGGACUAUUGAAAGAAAUAUUGAAGGGAAAGAAAUGUCUCCUCAUGUUGGAUGAUGUUUGGGAGACACAAGCAAUAAGUCGCAUGAUAAAUUGCUUGCACGAAGAGAAUACUCUUGGAUGGAUUCAAUACUUAGUUACAAGUAGACAAUGGAUAUUCCGGCAACAUGAGAGCAUAAGAGUGACCUUGUUGUAUGAAGAAGAUAGUAAGAAAUUACUUGGUGAGAAGGUGUUUAGUGAAGACGGUUUCCCUCUCCAACUUGAGGAACUUGGAGAGAAGAUUGCAGAGAAAUGUGAAGGCCUUCCUCUUAUGAUAGUCACGGUUGCAGAGCUCCUAUCAAAAGCCGACAAGACCCCAGAAUACUGGACUGAGAUAGCCUACAAACAACACAACUCACUUUUCGAGGAUGCAUAUAAUCAAAUAUCAGAGGUACUUUUCCCAAGUUAUGACUACUUACCCCAACAUUUAAAAAUGUUCUUCCUCUAUAUGGGAGCUUUCCCUCCUUAUGCUGAUCAGACACCACUCGAUAUUAAUUGUCUUUCGAGAGUUGAGGGAUUUCUUGAACUGAAUGAUGAAAAAAGUUUUUUGGAAAAGCUUUAUGAGGAGUAUCAUCUUGUUCUCGACACAGAAAAUUCUUGGUAUUCGAGUAGACAGUAUCGCGUGCAUUCUUGUUGGCAACACUUAUGUAAGGUAGAAGCUAGUAGGAUCAAGUUUCUACAUGUCUUACGAGGUUGUGAUGAUGUGACAAAAGACCAGCGUCGCUUGUGUGCCCAUUACAACAAUUUAUUUGCCUUCAAACAAGUGUAUGAUUCAAUUUAUUAUGAUGACGACGAUGAUGAUGAAAGAAACCCAUCGAGUUGCUUGGGUUAUAUCUCCCAACUCCAGAAUCUGGAGAGACUUGAAUAUUGGGUUAGCAAUCCUGAGAUAAAGUAUGAGUGUAAUACGAUUCCUCUUUCAAUGUUUCCAUCAAAUCUGAAGGUGUUAACGUUGUCUGGGUUAGGGGGGUAUCCUUGGAAUUACAUGAAUGACAUUGGUUCGCUGCUGCCAAAUCUCGAGAUUCUCAUAUUAAACUGCUAUGCAUUUCGAGGCCCAGAGUGGGACAUAACACCGGGGAGUUUUUUGAAACUUAUUGAACUUCAAAUUUAUGACACCGAUUUGGUGCGAUGGAGACCUCAACGUGGAAGCUUCCCGGAGCUUCGUAGACUAGGCAUGCUGCAUUGCUACAAAUUACAACAGCUCGAUUGGCCGUAUGAUCGCUCUUGGAUAGAGAUCAUUACUUUACGCGAGUGCAAUCCUUUAGCUGUCGCUUGUGCCAAGGAAUUAAAAGACAAGUUUUCCUUUCAACUUUUCGUCAAAUCUUCUUUUUUAGGUCAAGUGACUCUGCGACUUGCCUAACAGGUUAGUGUUACUACUUUGCAAUAUUACGUCUUAAUGUUUCUGUUAUGGUCAUAGUGUUUGAGAUUGUCCAUCUAUCGAUUUUCAGGCAAAUGAAAGAGACGAUCGAGAGUUGCUUCCCCUGCCGCAGGUGAGUUUCUGCUGUCUAUGUAGAUUACUAGUAACUUGCUUAACAAACGUCGAGGCCUUUGUAUUACGAGCUGCUGUGUUUGAAGAUCUCUUCGCAAGAUUCUUAAGGAGUUCACUUGUUCAAGGCGCCAUAAGGUAACUUCUUUAUAAUGCAUAAUAACCUAUAAAUGAAUCGAUUAACUUGAAAGUAUUGGGCUCGUUAGCUUGCAACACGUUCGUGUAUAGCAUUAAUUGUGAGCAUCAUAUAUUGCUACUCGUUGGCUUCUUUGCAUUGUAGGUAUGAAUCGCCUUAUUGGCGAGGAAUUGCAGCUAGACGGAUCCAACUCGCGUGGAGACGCAGAAAGAUGCAAACGAAUCGAGCUGAGUCAAGUCGAGUAGAUUCCUCAAGCUCACCGUCAUCUCAGACUAGAAGCAGACGCAGAUAAGACUCGUUGGAGUAACGGAUUCUAGCCAACUGAAAGGUUCGAUAGCGUGUUCGUGCUCGUACGUAAGAUGAGGUUCCUCUCUUCCACUCUGCCGAAGCCACUGUGUUUGUGUAAAUGUUGCUAACUCAUAUGAAGUGCUCUUGAUUUUAGAUCGAGUUAUAGAAUUAAUCAAGAUUUUAUGUUAAUUUUAUUAGUAACCGUAGGAGUUGUUGGUUUAGCUAUGAAGUAAACUUUUUUAUUUAUUUUUGAUAAAUUACAGUAUUAAAAAGAAAUUUAAAGGUCGCGCCACAUGAGAUUCGAAUCCAAGACUUUUGGCGUUAAGCAUUAAUAAAAUAUCUAAGGCAUUUAUCAACUAACCUAUUGCCUAUGAAUUAACAUACACUAAUUGGGCUUCUCUAUAUAAUAAAUAAAUUUUCGGCCCAAUAAAAAAUAUAAGCCCAGCUCCAUCAUUUAUCUUUUAAAUUCUGCCUAACUAUAAUCCAUUUUUAUUCCUUGAAUUGAUAACAAAGAAGCAAUUAAAACACCAAUUUACUCAAAUUAAAAGCUCAACAAUUCAACAUCAAAAACCAGAUUUUGAGUUGGGCUGAAUUCCCCAUGGCAUAAUUUUCUUCUAUUCCGACUUGGGCCCAACAAUUAUAUAAUACACAAAAAAUAACCUUAAAAUAAAAUAUGUACAUAAUAUGAGUAAAACUAACAGAAAAUGUUAUAUAUGAUGCUGAGGCAGUUAGGAAAAAUAAGUGUGUGUGCAUUUUCCCAAUCAAAUACAUAUCUUAAGUUUGUGAAAUGCUAUUGUGUUUUAAUUGAUUAAGAGUUGUGAGGUUAAAAAUGUUGUUGAUUUAGCUAUGAAGUGAAUCUGAUUAAGAGCUCUCGUUGUCAAAGAAGAAAAGAAAAGAAUUGAUUAAUUAUCAUUCAUAAAAUUUCUAAAGCAUUUUUAUCAGCUAACCUAUUACGGUAUUACCUAUCAAUUGGGCUUCUUCAUAUAAUAAACAAAAUUUCGGCCCAAUACAAAAAGUUAAGGCCCAACUCCAUCAUUUAUCUUUUAAAUUAUGCCUCAGUAUUAAAAGGCAUCAAAUUCUACUCAAUUUCUGUAGAAGACAUUCAAAACCCAUGGCACUUUAGAUAUUCCACCAUAGAGAACUAUUAUUAAUCUUCUAUAAACAAAAAAUAAAAAUAACAACUUGACACGGGCGGGCCGACCCAUUUUGACAACUCUAAUUUUACCUAGUAUAGGCUGUAUAGCAUCUAAGGCCAAGUAAUUACUAAUUGAUAGUAAUUGAAAAUUUAGGUAUAAUCGAAUUGAGUUUGUUGCAAACCAAAAUUUUCAUAUCUCACGCAAUGACUACGUGGAAGGCAACAUCUCAAUACCACUCAGCUUAGGGCUGAAAUGAUCAAAGCGGAGAAAGAAAAACGCAACACAAUAGCAUUGAUGGCAUGCAUAUAAAAGGAGAAUUUGUGCCAAAUUAAAACUUAUGGUAUUUUAUAUAGAAUGGUUAAUAGUGUUUUAUGUCUCGAACUUUCAGCAUUUUCUAUAAAAUGUCUCGAACUUUCAUCUUCUCCUAAAAAGUCCCGAACUUUCAAUUUUUUCCAUAAAAUGUCUCGCUAUACAAUUUUUUCCACAAUAACCUAUCUCGCGCGGAUGAAAUAUUUUGAAAAUCUCCAUCAUUGAAAAACCAUAUUAGGAACCUCGGUUGGUGGAAAAAGUUGAAAGUUCGGGACUUUUUAGGAGAAAAUGAAAGUUCGGGAUAUUUUAUGGAAAAUGCUGAAAGUUCAGGACAUAAAACACUAUUAACCCUAUAUAGAAUAAAGAACUAGGGGAAUACAACUUAUGCUUUAUGUUGCCUUGGUCAUUUAGAAAAAAAUCUAAAAACUUUUUAUUUCCAUAUAAUACCUGUACCUAAUGCAUAUGUUGCUCAUAUCACUCACGUUAACUAAUUAGUGAGGGAAAAAAAAAAAAAAAACGUAUACAGAAACACUACGUAGAAUUCAUGUUGUAACUGUAUUAACUGUAUAGAUUAUGAUAGUAUCUCCUAACAUCCCAUGCUGAUUAUUAUUCUUCCAACUUCCCCUCAGGCGCUAGCUUUCACCAAAAACAAAAGAAAACAACAGUAGAAAAUUUUGGAAGGAAUGAACUCUGCUCGAAAACUACUCAAUUGUAGUGAAGAAAGUAAGAAAUGCACAAGCAAAUGAUCGUUAUUAAUGGUGAAACUAGAUUGUUCAGUCAUCAUAAGCAUAGAGACGAAAAUGUUAGAGAUACUUAAAACAUUUUUAAUCUAAUAAAGCACAACACCAACCAUACAUCCAUAUUGAAGAACUUGAUCUCGCACUGUCAUUGGCUCUAUUCCCCUGCCUGCACAUUGGCUCUAAUAUUUUAAACUCUUCUUUUGGCAUUGAAUCAAAUCGCUGAUACCAAAAAAUAAAACUUGCCUCUUAAGUGUAGCUACCAGCUCGAUCACUUGGUAUCACACGCAGGACCUAUGAUGAGAUUGAAUGGUACCUCAAUCUCCUUGGCGAGGCUGACAUUUUUGAAACCCACAGAGCGGUGGAAGGAUUUCUUGGCGAUGGCGUUGGUGAAGCAUUUGUCUAUGGUGUCCUCGACCGCGUACACCGCAUCCCUCAUCUGCCUCUCCAGCAGGGACGGAGCCAGGAAUUAAGUUCGGGGGCAGCCCCCGAGAAAUUUUUUUUGGGCAUUCUGUAUAUUUAAGGUAUUUUUUUAUUAAAAUACGAGCAUAAUACUAAUAAUAACGAACAAUAUUUUCAUAGAUUAUAUAGUUUCAAUAUAUCACAAAACUUUUUUUGGACAUUCCGUAUAUUUAAGACAUUUUUUAUUAAAAGGAAAGCAUGAUAAUAAUAAUAACAAACAACAUGUUCAUAGAUUAUAUAUUUUCUAUAUAUUACAAAUUAGUUUCAAUACAUUAUAUUUUUUUUUUGCAUUUCAUACAUAUUAGGCAUUUUUUUAUUAAAAGACAAGUAUAAUAGUAAUAAUAACGAACAAUAUUUCAUAGAUUAUAUAGUUUUAAAUAACAGAAUUAUCCUUAAAUUAAGUAUAUAUGAGAGAAUAUAAUAACCAAAUACUCUUUUAUAAAACAAAAUUAAUUUAUAAUAGGUAUAAACAUAUAUCUAUAUAUAUUUUAAAAUUUAAAAAAAAAAAAAAACUACAAAAUUUAGGAGGGGGCUCUAGCCCCCCUAGCCCCCCUGGCUCCGUCAGUGCUCUCCAGUAUCCUUAACGGAUCUUCCUUCUUCUUCUUCUCCGCCAUCUGCUUGAGGAAACCUUUGAGUGAAGCCAGGUCGCUCUUCAGCUGCUCCAACUCAUUCUCCGCCCCGAAGAUCAGAUCGGCGUACCCUAUCACCACCUCCUUCACUUGCUCCAGCAAGAAUGCCACUGCAGCCUCCCCCAUCUCAAUUCUCCAAGGGAGAGAGAGAGUGUGUGAGUGUGUGUGAGAGAGAGAGAGAGACUGGUUAUUGUAGUUGAAUUUCAAACUAUGGUCUUAUUGUGGGGCUGAGCAUUCGGGCAAUUUGGGUUGAAAACGAACCGUAGUGGAAAAAUCCGAACCCAAACCGCCCCUAAAUUUUUAAACCGAACCAAACCGUUUCAGUUGCUCAAACCGAACAGUAAAUUUUUAGUUUGGUUUGAUUCGAUUUGGCAUAAACCGUUUCAAUUUUUUUUUAAAGGAGAGAGAGAGAGUAUUCGGGAGAGAGUGUGUGUGUGAGAAAGAGAGGUACUGUGGUUAUUGUAGUUGAAAGUUCAAACUAUGGUCUAGUAGGGAAUAUAGUAGGAAUGAGCAACGAAGAUAAUUCACUUUCCACAAAAAAGUCCAAUAAUUGAGGAGAGAGAGAAAAAAAAACAUUUGCGCAAACUUGCACUGAUAUUGAUAUCGAUGUCAGUGGUUUCACACUGAACGGAUAAAUUUCUUUGGCGUUUUCUUGGGCAGAGGAUGUUCGGCACUGGUACCCUUGCACGGAGUCUCGUGGGCGGUACAUCACAAACUAUCCAUUCACAGCACAUUGAUGCUCGAUUUGAAGAGCUGCAGCAGCAGCUUCAAGAGGAUCGUGAGCAUAGACUCCGUAAAUCCCUCGGUAAAUUUACCGAGGAAAAUUUCCCACGGUAAUAAUUUUAUCGAAUUUAACGACGGGCUCUUUUAAUCGGUGAUCUCUCGGUAAACAAUAUUACCGAAGGAAAUUAUAUAUUUACCGAGGGAAAUUUUCCUCGUUAAAAAAUUAAUUUUUUGUUGUGAUUUUACAUAAGAAAUUUUCCUAUAGAAAUUUUAUGCGUUGACUUUUUUAUGAGUUCGUGCAAAAGUUGUUCCCAUUGGUUGUCAUUAAAUAAAAAGUAAUGUUAAUUGUCGAUAAGGCACUCUCUUUUGUUUUCAUCUUUUUAAGAUGUAGAAUUGUGAAUUGCUUAUUUAAUUAUAUAUUAGAUACCUUUUGUAAUUCUAAAAAAAAUACUACUAUCAUCUUUACAAUCCAACAUUUAAAAAAAAAGUAAUGUUAUUGUAAUUAAAAAAAAAUAUUACAAACGACAAUGAUGGAAUUGAUAUUUUUUUAUUGUAAUUUUAUUUAAAUUAUUGUAAUUUUUUUUAAUUCAUAUAUGGUUAAUUUUUUAUUUUAAUUAAAAUUUUAUUGUUAAAAUUAAAUACAUACACACAUGGAAUUGAUAAGCUUGGGCUGGGACCCAAUAUAAUUAUAUAUAGGAUAUUUUAUUAUUAGCUUUAUUGGCGUGCGUUUACUUUUACGAAAACUAGUGGAAGCCAUGUGUUUUCACACUUCUUUCAUAAUUUUCAAGUGGUUGAUUGCUCAUUCUUAAUAAUUACAAUCUUCGGUUGCUUUGUUUCUUGCUACAAUUCUUCCACACAAUUGCAUUCAAAAUCAUCAAUAGAUCGAUUUUACCAUUACAUUAUACACAUCUUUUCAAAUCAUUUACUAAAAUUCUUGAAUGUGGUUUUGAAUGUUUCUGAAAUUGUAUCAAAACCAGCUGCCGCCGCCUUCGAGAGGUAAGCAGAGAGCUGAGAUCUAUCAUUUGUUUCGUCUGCGUUUGCUUAUUAUAAUUCCUUCUUCUUCUUCUUCGUUUCUUUCUUAGGCAACUGAAUUUUAUUCUGGGUUAAUUGCAGUUUAGUUUAAGCUUCAUUUUGGAGGAAAAUUGCAGAGCUAAGCAAUUUCAUUUCAACAAUAUAUCGUAUCUCAGCUGAUAAUUUGGGUAUGGCGGCUUUUGGUGCGGCGGCUUCUCUCAAGAAUACGAUUCUGCGUAUUCUGGAAUCGUCUCGCAUUUCUCUCGUUUCCCACUCUCCACAAAUCUUGCAACCUGCCUACGACCAGAUGGAUCGCUUGCAGAAAGUUCUGCUCAAAUUGGACGAGACCAGCUGCAGCAAGAUCAGGACGGAGGUGAAUGCUUUGGAUGAACUCAUAAAAGAGGCAGUUUGGGAAUUCGAAGAUUUACUCGAAUCCCAUAUCUUACCUCAGAUUCUUCCACAGCUCGAAAGCGGGAGAAACAACUUGUCAUUCUGUGUAGAUCUGCAGAGUCUGCAACACCAUGUUGAUUGCUUCAUCGAGAUGAUGGAGAUGAUGGAGGAAGAGUACAUCAUUGAAAUGGAGAAUAUGGCUGAAGAAGAAGGCGAGCCUGUUUCCUCAAGAAUCAAUUUUGGUGGAAUUAUCAAAUCAAAGAUGGUUGGCUUAUCUGAUGAAUUUCAAAAAGCUAUAGAUUAUCUCCUUGAAGAAAAUAUCUACUAUUCGAUUAUUGGGAUGGCGGGCGUUGGAAAGACAACUCUUGCUAAGCAUAUUUUUGAAGAUCCAUCAAUUCGGAGCCAUUUUGAGUUUCGAGCAUGGGUCAAAGUGGGCAGAAAAUGCGAACCCAAUGAACUAUUACGUUGCGUUCUAGCUCAAGUGGAUCCCAACGCUUACCGAAUGCUUGCCCAAGGAGAAGAUGAUGAUGAGGAAUUAGUCGGACUAUUGAAAGAAAAAUUGCAGGAUAAGAAAUGCCUCAUCGUGUUGGAUGAUGUUUGGGAGGAACAAGCAGUGGAUCGCUUGAUAAAUUGCUUGCGAGAAAUGAAUACUCUUGGAUGGAUUCAGUUCUUACUUACAAGUAGACGACCAUACAUGCAGCAUGGGCGCAUGAGAUUGAGCUUGUUGAAUGAAGGUGUUUGGUGAGAAGGUGUUUAGUGAAGGCGGUUUCCCUCCUCAACUUGAGGAACUGGGAGAGAAGAUUGCUGAGAAAUGUGAAGGUCUUCCUCUUAUGAUAGUCACAGUUGCAGAGCUCCUAUCAAAAGCCGACAAGACCCCAGAAUACUGGACUGAGGUAGCCUACAAACAACACAACUCACUUUUCAUGGAUGCAUAUAAUCAAAUAUCAGAGGUACUUUUCCCAAGUUAUGACUACUUACCCCAACAUUUAAAAAUGUUUUUCCUCUAUAUGGGAGCUUUCCCUCCAUAUACUGAUCAGAAUCCAUUCCAUAUCAAUAAUCUUUUGGGUGCUGAGGGAUUUCUUGAACUGAACGAUGUUAGAAAAAGUUUUGAAGAUUUAUGGGACAAGCUUUCUAACUCGUAUCAUCUUGUUCUCGACACAAAAAAUUUGUGGUAUUCCAAUAGACGUUAUCGCGUGCAUUCUUGUUGGCAGCACUUAUGUAAGGUAGAAGCUAGUAGGAUCAAGUUUCUACAUGUCUUACGAGGUUGUGAUGAUGUUAUAAAAGAUCAGCGCCGCUUGUGUGCCCAUUGGAACAGUUUAUUUGGCUUCAAACAAGUGUAUGAUUUGAUAAAAAGUGAUUGUGCAUCCACUGCCCGUUCUCUCCUUUGUUUUGGUCCUUAUCACCCAUAUCCAAUCCCAAUACAUGCCAUGGGUUUCAAGUUGCUCAGGGUACUAUAUGCUCUUAGAGUUCGAUUUUACCAUAUCCCAAUUGAAAUUUUGAAACUUGUUUGUCUGCGGUACCUUUCCCUAAAAUGCAACGGGGAGCUCCCUCCUUCCAUAUCCAACCUUUUUAACCUUCAAGUCUUGAUUAUCAAUCCACAUAUUUACAUUAAAAAGCGUGGAGUUCAGUCUUAUAUGCCUGUGCAAAUUUGGAACAUGCAAGAACUAGAGCAUCUUGAGAUAAGGGGAAGGGACAUACCAACCCCUAAUACUGAUGAUGCUACCUUGAACAUACUCAGCUCACUUUAUGGUGUGAGUGCAAACAGUUGUACAAUGGAAGUUCUCAAAAGUAUUCCUAAUUUAAAGGAAUUAGGAAUUCAAGUGGAGUUGAAGCCUUAUGAUGACGACGAUGAUGAUGAAAGAAACCCAUCGAGUUGCUUGGGUUAUAUCUCCCAACUCCAGAAUCUGGAGAGACUUGAAUAUUGGGUUAGCAAUCCUGAGAUAAAGUAUGAGUGUAAUACGAUUUCUCUUUCAAUGUUUCCCCCAAGUCUGAAGGUGUUAACGUUGUCUGGGUUAGGGGGUAGUCCUUGGAAUUACAUGAAUGACAUUGGUUUGCUGCUGCCAAAUCUCGAGAUUCUCAUAUUAGACCACUAUGCAUUUCGAGGCCCAGAGUGGGACAUAACAUCGGGGAGUUUUUUGAAACUUAUUGAACUUGUAAUUGAAGACACCGAUUUGGUGCGAUGNNNNNNNNNNNNNNNNNNNNNNNNNNNNNNNNNNNNNNNNNNNNNNNNNNNNNNNNNNNNNNNNNNNNNNNNNNNNNNNNNNNNNNNNNNNNNNNNNNNNNNNNNNNNNNNNNNNNNNNNNNNNNNNNNNNNNNNNNNNNNNNNNNNNNNNNNNNNNNNNNNNNNNNNNNNNNNNNNNNNNNNNNNNNNNNNNNNNNNNNNNNNNNNNNNNNNNNNNNNNNNNNNNNNNNNNNNNNNNNNNNNGUGUUUGAGAUUGUCCAUCUAUCGAUUUUCAGGCAAAUGAAACAGACGAUCGAGAGUUGCUUCCUCUGCCGCAGGUGAGUUUCUGCUGUCUGUAGAUUACUAGUAACUUGUUCAACAAAUGUCGAGGCCUUUGAAUUACGAGCUGCUGUUUUUGAAGAUCUCUUCGCAGGAGUUCACUUGUUCAAGGCGCCAUAAGGUAACUUCUUUAUAAUGCAUAACCAAUAAAUGAAUCGAUUAACUUGAAAGUAUUGGGCUCGUUAGCUUGCAACACGUUCGUGUACAGCAUUGUGAGCAUCAUAUAUUGCUACUCGUUGACCUCUUUGCAUUAUAGGUAUGAAUCGCCUUAUUGGUGAGGAAUUGCAGGUAGACGGAUCCAACUCGCGUGGAGAUGCAGAAAGAAGCAAACGAAUCGAGCUGAGUCAAGCCGAGUAGAUUCCUCAAGCUCACCGUCGUCUCAGACUAGAAGCAGACGCAGAUAAGACUUGUUGGAGUAACGGAUUCUAGCCAACUGAGGUUCGAUAGCGUGUUCGUGCUCGUACGUAAGAUGAGGUUCCUCUCUUCCACUCUGCCGAAGCCAUUGUGUAGAUGUUGCUAACUCAUAUCAAGUGCUCUUGAUUUUAGAUCGAGUUAUAGAAUUAAUCAAGAUUUGAUGUUAAUUUUAUUAGUAACCGUAGGGGUUGUUGGUUUAGCUAUGAAGUAAACUUUUUUUUUGAUAAAUUACAGCAUUAAAUAAAGAAAUUUAAAGACCGCGUCACAUGAGACUCGAACUCAAGACUAAUUGGGCUUCUCUAUAUAAUAAAUAAGUUUCCGGCCCAAUACAAAAUAUAAGCCCAGCUCCAUCGUUUAUCUUUUAAAUUCUGCCUAACUAUAAUCCAUUUUUAUUCCUUGAAUUGAUAACAAAGAAGCAAUUAAAACACCAAUUUACUCAAAUUAAGCUCAACAAUUCAACAUCAAAAUCCAGAUUUUGAGUUGGGCUGAAUUCCCCAUGGCAUAAUUUUCUUCUAUUCGGACUUGGGCCCAAUAUGUAUAUAAUACACAAAAAAGUAACCUUAAAAUAAAAUAUGUACGUAAUAGGAGUAAAACUAACAGAAAACAUUAUAUGUGAUGCUGAGGCAAUUAAGAAAAAUAAAGUGUGUGCAUUUUAAUUUCCACAUCAAAUACAUAUCUUAAGUUUGUGAAAUGCUAUUGUGUUUUAAGACUGAGGAAAAUAAUUAAAUUAUACUUCCUCCGUCCUCAAAUUAUAACUUCAUAGAAGGAAGGAACACGAGUUUUAAGACGAAAAAGUAAAAAGAUGAAAAGUAAGGAUAAAUGGGGUAUUGAGAGUGGUGAAAAGAUGAAAAAUAAGGGUAAAUGAGGAAUUAAUUGUGGUGGAGUAGUGCCCAAAUAUAGAAAGAUUUUUUUUUUGAACGGACCGAAAAUAAAAGUUAGAAAGUUAUUUGCGGACGGAGGAGUAUGUAUGUUUAGAAUAUCUAGCAAAACCAAUAAAAGAUCACCAUGAACUAUAAUCUUUUUAUCCCUCAAUCCAUCUCACAUUUGAAUUUUCCUGUAUAUAAAUUCAUUAGAAUUUAUAUAUACACUAAUAUAAAAAAAAUGUGUUGGGCACAAACUAUAGAUUGUCUAUUAUAUUCAUAUUACAUACUCCCUUCGUCCCCUAAAUAACUUCUUAGUAGGGGACGACACGAGUUUUAAAGAAAAAUUGUUAAGUGUAUUGAUAAAAAAAAAACUUUUAUAAUUAAUAUUGAAAGUGGUGAAAAUGUGUUAUAAUUAAUAUUGAGAAUGAUGGAAGGUUGAAAAGUAAUAAUAAAUAAAGUAUAUUAGUGGUAGGGUAAUGUCCCAAAAUGAAUAUGAAGUUAUUUGGGGGACUGAAGGAGUAUUUAAUUUUAAGAGUAAUUAUAUAAAGUAUAUAUUAUAUAUCUAGAAGAAUAUAUUAAUUCAUUAGACAUUAAAGUACUACAAAAAUAUGUCAAUUAAUUAUAUUACCUUAUCAUAAAUCUAUUUGAUGAAUCUGAAAAUCUUUUUAGAAUCCUGAAAAAAUAUCCUAUGAAAUCUAACUAUUAACUAAAUAAAUGAAAAUUCAAUAUUAUAUAAAUAAAUAGGUUACAUAUAAAGUGUACUCCCUCCGUCCCACGAAUCUUGAUACGCUUGGUUUCAGCACGGGAAUUAAGAAGUUGUAGAUUAGUAUUUUAAGUGUGUAGUUAAUGAAGUAUAAAAGUGAUAAAGUAGGAGAGAAAAUGUAAUAUAAGUGAUAAAGUUAAUCGAUAGCGUGUUCGUGCUCGUAAAAUGAGUUUCUCUCUUCCACUCUGCAGAAGCCAUUGUGUAGAUGUUGCUAACUCAUAUAUAUAAAGUGCUCUUGAUUUUAGAUCGAGUUGUAGAAAUCAAGAUUUGAUGUUAAUUUCAUUGCACUUAAAUAUUUGUUUUUCUAACUAGUGGUAAUAAUAUGUGUUCUAUUUUAAGUCACAGGCUGUUCCCUCAAAGUUGAGAGUUUGCAUUAUUUUUAUCAAGCAGUUUGAUCGAUUUUGAAUUAUUUAGAUUAUCACAAGGAUUUGCAUAGGUCUGCCUUGCAAUAUUACUUAAUGUUUCUGUUAUAGUCACAGUGUUUGAGAUUGUCCAUCUACCGAUUUUCAGGCAAGUGAGACGUCGCGUUAUCCCAUGAUUUCGAUUGGAUUGUGAAACUUGAGUGCUGAAUUGUGUUUGUAAUCAAAAUUGUUGUAAGUUGGAUUUGUGUGAAAACAUUAAUCGCUUAUUCAGUUCAAGGAUUGUAAUAUUUGUGAGUUAAGCAUAGUUUUAACUUUGUUUUCAUAUUGUGUGUAAUCAGUUUAUGUGUUUUUGGCUUAAAAAUAUAUAGCUUAAAAUUUUAACAUUAUGGCAAUAUACUAAUUAAUUUCUGGCUUCAUUUUUCAAAUUCAUGAGAUCCCUCAGUAGAAGCUCAUCAAUGUGAACAUUUGCUGAGAUGAAGUAUUUGGAUGAACUUUUUCCAAUAGGGCGUGUUUGAUAUUGGCUAAUACACUGUAUUAGCUAAUUUAGUACAGAUCAGUCUAGUGUUUGGUAUUAUUUAGUAAUAAUGUGGAUGACCCGGUUUAAUCCCACGACCCAGUAUUAUUAAUCCAGAUUUCUUAGGAUUAAUUAUACCACCUCUCCCCUAGGAUUAACUUAAACCAAGAUAUUCUGUAUUUAGCCAUGAUAGCAAACACCAACUCAAUAUUAAUAAUCUGUCAUUAUCCACGCUAAAUAUCCUAAUUACAAAUUAUCCAACAUAAUCCUUUACUGAAAACCAAAGAACCCAUGCUGUUGCCGUCUUCUUUUUCUUAUUUUAUCAGUGAUGACUACAGAAAAGCCAUGAUUUGGUGGGAGUUUGUAUGAACAAAAUUAUUGUGGUAAUUAAGUUUGUUCUUCUCCGUUGUAAAUAAAUAACUGCAGGAGUUGUGAGGUUAAAAAUGUUGUUGAUUUAACUAUGAAGAAAAGAAAAGAAUUGAUUAAUUAUCAUUCAUAAAAUUUCUAAAGGCCCAACUGGGCUUCUUCACAUAAUAAACAAAAUUUCGGCCCAAUACAAAAUCAAGGCCCAACUCCAUCGUUUAUCUUUUAAAUUCGGCCUCACUAUUAAAUUAAAAGGCAUCAAAUUCAACUCAAUUUCGUUAGAAGACAUUUCAAAAUCCAUGGCACUUUGGGGUAUGAAAGAAAAUUACUAUCACUUUCAAUUUGGAUUUAAAUGAUUGAAAUAAGAGAAGACUAAAUAAUUCAUAAAUUUCGACCCCUUUUGGAUUUUAUUAUUUUUAAUAAGUUAUUUUUUCAUAAUUAAAUUAAGUUUCACAAUUCUUUACUUCUUUAAUUAGUUUAAUUGCCACAUAACUAAUUAUGAUCUUUCGAGCCUUGAAAAAAAAAAAAAAAAAAAACCCAAGUUAAAAAAUGUGUUGCAAAUAGGGCUGUAUACGAACCGAGCCGAGCCGAAUACCUCCAGGCUCGGGCUCGGUUCGUUAAGAUUUGGUUCGGCUCGAGCUCGAAUUCGAGCCUAAAAAUGAGCUCGAGCUCGGCUCGCUCAUAUAAUACCAAGCUCGAGUUUGGUUCGAAUUCGGCUCGUUAAUUAUUCGUUUAUCUCGAGCUCGAGCUCGGCUCGUUAAUUAUUCGUUUAUCUCGAGCUCGGCUCGAAUUUAAAGCUCGAUUUCAAAUUCAAACUCGAAUUCGAGCUCGGUUCGAAUUAUUUAUAUAUUAAGGUUUCAUUAAAAUAAAAAAAUUAUAUUUGUUCAUAUAUUACUAGACUAUUUAUGAAUCAUAAUUUAUAAUUUAUUUUUAACAAAUAGAUAAUUUAUCAAGUUAGUAGUAAUUUUUUUUUUUAAUUAUGAGUGUUAUUUUUAUUAUUUAAAAAAUAUUUAACAAAUAAAAUAUAUAUAAUUAUUAUUUAAUGAACCUAUUCGCGAGCCUAUUCGCGAACAUAUUCGUGAACCUAUUCGUGAGCCUUUUCGCAAACAUAUUCGCAGCCUAUUCGCGAAUGGCUCGCGAAUAGGUUCGAGCCGAACAUGUUCACGAGCUCACGAGCCGAACAUGCACAGGCUCGAGUUCGGCUCGAUAAUUUUAUCGAGCUCGGAUUCGGGCUCGAGUUCGGCUCGUUUAGAAAAUGAACGAAUUUCGAACGAGCUUUUUUCGAGCCGAGCCCCGAAUAGUUCACGAGCGGCUUGGUUCGUUUACACCCCUAGUUGCAAACACUACGAAUAAUUUUCCAACAUGAGGUAGGUGUAUUAAUUUAAAUAUGAUCACAAAAAUAUGAUCACAUUAAAAUAUGAUCUCAUAAUUAUAUAUAGGAUACUUUAUUAUUAGCUUUAUUGGCGUGCGUUUUCUUUUACGAAAAGUAGAGGAAGCCAUGUGUUUUCACACUUCUUUCAUAAUUUUCAAGUGGUUGAUUGCUCAUUCUUCAUAAUUACAAUCUUCGGUUGCUUUGUUUCUUGCUACAAUUCUUCCACACAAUUGCAUUCAAAAUCAUCAAUAGAUCGAUUUUACCAUUACAUUAUACACAUCUCUUCAAAUCAUUUACUAAAUUCUUGAAUGUGGUAUUGAAUGUUUCUGAAAUUGUAUCAAAACCAGCUGCCGCCGCCGAGAGGUAAGCAGAGAGCUGAGAUCUAUCAUUUGUUUCAUCUGCGUUUGCUUAUUAUAAUUCCUUCUUCUUCUUCUCCGUUUCUUUGUUAGGCGACUGAAUUUUAUUCUGGGCUAAUUGCAGUUUAGUUUAAGCUUCAUUUUGGAGGAAAAUUGCAGAGCUAAGCAAUUUCAUUUCAACAAUAUAUCGUAUCUCAGCUGAUAAUUUGGGUAUGGCGGCUUUUGGUGCGGCGGCUUCUCUCAAGAAUACGAUUCUGCGUAUUCUACAAUCGUCUCGCAUUUCUCUCGUUUCCCACUCUCCACUAAUUGGACGAGACCAGCAGCAGCAAGAUCAGGACAGAGGUGAAUGCUUUGGAUGAACUCAUAAAAGAGGCAGUUUGGGAAUUCGAAGAUUUACUCGAAUCCCAUAUCUUACCUCAGAUUCUUCCACAACUCCAAAGCGAGAGACACAACUUGUCAUUCUCUGUAGAUCUGCAAAGUUUGCAACACCAUGUUGAUUGCUUCGUCGAGAUGGUGAAGAUGAUGGAGGAAGAGUACACUAAUGAAAUGGAGAAUAUGGCUGAAGAAGAAGGCGAGCCUAUUUCCUCAAGAAUCGAUUUUGGUGGAAUCAACUCAAAGAUGGUUGGAAAAUCUUAUGCAUUUCAAGACGCCAGAGAUAAUCUUCUUGAAGAUAAACACUAUUCGAUUAUUGGGAUGGCGGGCGUUGGAAAGACAAAUCUUGCUAAACAUCUUUUUGAAGAUCCAUCAAUUCGGAGCCAUUUUGAGUUUCGAGCAUGGGUCAAAGUGGGCAGAAAAUGCGAGCCCAAUGAACUAUUACGCUGCGUUCUAGCUCAAGUGGAUCCCAACGCUUACCGAAUGCUUGCCCAAGGAGAUGAUGAUGAUGAGGAAUUAGUUGGACUAUUGAAAGAAAAAUUGCAGGAUAAGAAAUGUCUCAUCGUGUUGGAUGAUGUUUGGGAGACACAAGCAAUAAGUCGCAUGAUAAAUUGCUUGAAAGAAGGGAAUAUUCGUGGAGGGAUUGGAUACUUGCUUACAAGUAGACAACAAAUAACACUCCCGCAGCUUACGGGCAUAAGACUGAACUUGUUGAAUGAAGAAGAAAGUAAGAAAUUACUUGGUGAGAAGGUGUUUGGUGAGAAGGUGUUAGUGAAGACGGUUUCCCUCCCAACUUGAGAAUGGAGAGAAGAUUGCAGAAAUGUGAAGGCUUCCUCUUAUGAUAGUCACGUUGCAGAGCUCCUAUCAAAAGCCGACAAGACCCAGAAUAUGGACUGAGGUAGCCUGCAAACAACAAUCACUUUCGGGAGCAUAUAAUCAAAUAUCAGAGGUCUUUUCCCAAGUAUGACUAUUACCCCAACAUUUAAAAAUGUUUCCUCUAUAUGGGACUUUCCCUCCAUAUAUAUCAUACCACAUACACUUAUGUUGGUGCUGAGGCUUCUUAAUGAAUGUUGAAAAAGUUUGAGGUUUUGGGAAAAGCUUUCUAGGUAUCAUCUUGUUCUCGACACAAAAAUUGUGGUUGAAUAAGAGUAUCGCGUGCAUUCUGUUGGCAGCACUUUGUAAGGUAGAAGCUAGAGAUCAAGUUUCUACAUGUCUUACGAGGUUGUGAGAUGUAAAAAGACCAGCGCGCUUGUGUGCCCAUUACAACAGUUUAUUUGCUUCAAACAAGUGUAUGAUUCGAUAAAAAGUGAUUGUGCAUCCACUGCCCGUUCUCUCCUUUGUUUGGUCCUUAUCACCAUAUCCAAUCCCAAUACAUGCCAUGGGUUUCAAGUUGCUCAGGGUACUAUAUGCUCUUAGAGUUCGAUUUUACCAUAUCCCAAUUGAAAUUUUGAAACUUGUUUGUCUGCGGUACCUUGCCCUAAAUUGCAACGGGGAGCUCCCUCCUUCCAUAUCCAACCUUUUUCACCUUCAAUUCUUGAUUAUCGAUCCACAUAUGUACAUUAAAAAGCGUGGAGUUCAGUCUUAUAUGCCUGUGCAAAUUUGGGACAUGCAAGAACUAGAGCAUAUUCAGAUUUGGGGAAGGACCUACCAACCCCUAAUACUGAUGAUGCUACCUUGAACAAACUCAUCUCACUUGUUGGUGUGAGUGCAAACAGUUGUACAAGGGAAGUUCUCAAAAGAAUUCCUAAUUUAAAGGAAUUAAAUUGAAGUGGAGUUGAAGCCUUAUGAUGAUGAUGAUGAUGAAAGAAACCCAUUGAGUUGCUUGGGUUAUAUCUCCCAACUCCAGAAUUUGGAGAGACUUGAAUAUUGGGUUAACAAUCCCGAGAUAAAGUAUGAGUGUAAUACGAUUCCUCUUUCAAUGUUUCCAUCAAGUCUCAAGGUGUUACGUUUGUCUGGGUUAGGGGGGUAUCCUUGGAAUUACAUGAAUGACAUUGGUUCGCUGCUGCCAAAUCUCGAGAUUCUCAUAUUACGUUGCUAUGCAUUUCGAGGCCCAGAGUGGGACAUAACACCGGGGAGUUUUUUGAAACUUAUUGAACUUCGAAUUGAAGACACCGAUUUGGUGCGAUGGAGACCUCAACGUGGAAGCUUCCCGGAGCUUCGUAGACUAAGCAUGCGGCAUUGCUACAAAUUACAACAGCUCGAUUGGCCGUAUGACCACUCUUGGAUAGAGAUCAUUGAUUUACGCGAGUGCAAUCCUUUAGCUGUCGCUUGUGCCAAGGAAUUAAAAGACAAGUUUUCCUUUCAACUUUCGUCAAAUCUUCUUUUUGAGGUCAAGUGGAUCUGCAACUUGCCAACAGGUUAGUCUUACUACUUUGCAAUAUCAAGUCUUAAUGUUUCUGUUAUAGUCACAGUGUUUGAGAUUGUCCAUCUAUCGAUUUUCAGGCAAAUGAAAGAGACGAUCGAGAGUUGCUUCCCCUGCCGCAGGUGAGUUUCUGCUGUCUGUAGAUUACUAGUAACUUGUUUAACAAACGUCGAGGCCUUUGUAUUACGAGCUGCUGUUUUUGAAGAUCUCUUCGCAAGAUUCUUAAGGAGUUCACUUGUUCAAGGCGCCAUAAGGUAACUUCUUUAUAAUGCAUAACCUAUAAAUGAAUCGAUUAACUUGUAAGUAUUGGGCUCGUUAGCUUGCAAACACGUUCGUGUACAAUUUUCAAUAUCAAAAACCAGAUUUUGAGUUGGGCUGAAUUCCCCAUGGCAUAAUUUUCUUCUAUUCCGACUUGGGCCCAAUAAUUAUAUAAUACACAAAAAAUAACCUUAAAAUAAAAUAUGUACGUAAUAGGAGUAAAACUAACAGAAAACAUUAUAUGUGAUGCUGAGGCACUUAAGAAAAAUAAAGUGUGUGCAUUUUCCACAUCAAAUACAUAUCUUAAGUUUGUGAAAUGCUAUUGUGUUUUAAGACUGAGGAAAAUAAUUCAAUUAUACUUCCUCCGUCCUCAAAUUAUAACUUCAUAGAAGGAAGGAACACGAGUUUUAAGACGAAAAAGUUAAAAGAUGAAAAGUAAGGAUAAAUGGGGUAUUGAGAGUGGCGAAAAGAUGAAAAAUAAGGGUAAAUGAGGAAUUAAUUGUGGUGGAGUAGUGCCCAAAUAUAGAAAGAUUUUUUUUUUGAACGGACCGAAAAUAAAAGUUAGAAAGUUAUUUGCGGACGGAGGAGUAUGUAUGUUUAGAAUAUCUAGCAAAACCAAUAAAAGAUCACCAUGAACUAUAAUCUUUUUAUCCCUCAAUCCAUCUCACAUUUGAAUUUUCCUAAAAAAGGUAUAUAAAUUCAUUAGAAUUUAUAUAUACACUAAUAUAAAAAAAAUGUGUUGGGCACAAACUAUAGAUUGUCUAUUAUAUUCAUAUUACAUACUCCCUUCGUCCCCAAAUAACUUCUUAGUAGGGGACGACACGAGUUUUAAAGAAAAAUUUUAAGUGUAUUGAUAAAAAAAAAGUUUUAUAAUUAAUAUUGAAAGUGGUGAAAAUGUGUUAUAAUUAAUAUUGAGAAUGAUGGAAGGUUGAAAAGUAAUAAUAAAUAAAGUAUAUUAGUGGUGGGGUAAUGUCCCAAAAUGAAUAUGAAGGUAUUUGGAGAACUGAAGGAGUAUUUAAUUUUAAGAGUAAUUAUAUAAAGUAUAUAUUAUAUAUCUAGAAGAAUAUAUUAAUUCAUUAGACAUUAAAGUACUACAAAAAUAUGUCAAUUAAUUAUAUUACCUUAUCAUAAAUCUAUUUGAUGAAUCUGAAAAUCUUUUUAGAAUCCUGAAAAAAUAUCCUAUGAAAUCUAACUAUUAACUAAAUAAAUGAAAAUUCAAUAUUAUAUAAAUAAAUAGGUUACAUAUAAAGUGUACUCCAUCCGUCCCACGAAUCUUGAUACGCUUGGUUUCAGCACGGGAAUUAAGGAGUUGUAGAUUAGUAUUUUAAGUGUGUAGUUAAUGAAGUAUAAAAGUGAUAAAGUAGGAGAGAAAAUGUAAUAUAAGUGAUAAAGUUAAUCGAUAGCGUGUUCGUGCUCGUAAAAUGAGUUUCUCUCUUUCACUCUGCAGAAGCCAUUGUGUAGAUGUUGCUAACUCAUAUAUAUAAAGUGCUCUUGAUUUUAGAUCGAGUUGUAGAAAUCAAGAUUUGAUGUUAAUUUCAUUGGACUUAAAUAUUUGUUUUUUUUAACUAGUGGUAAUAAUAUGUGUUCUAUUUUAAGUCACAGGCUAUUCCCUCAAAGUUGAGAGUUUGCCUUAUUUUUAUCAACCAGUUUGAUCGAUUUUGAAUUAUUUAGAUUGUCACAAGGAUUUUGCAUAGGUCUGCCUAAUAUCUUUGCAAUAUCACAUUUUUUAAUGUUCUUAUUAUAUUCACAGUGUUUGAGAUUGUCCAUCUACCGAUUUUCAGGCAAAUGAGAUAGCCGAUCAAAGGGGUCAGGCGUUGCGUUAUCCCAUAAUUUCGAUUGUUGUAUUACCACAUUGUCGUAUGAAUUUAAGGAUUGUGAAACCUGAGUGCUGAAUUUUGUUUGUAACCAAAAUUGUUGUAAGUUGGAUUUGUGUGAAAACAUGAGUCCCUUAUUCAGUUCAAGGAUUGUAAUAUUUGUGAGUUCUGCAUAGUUUUAACUUUGUUUUCAUAGUGUGUAUGUGUGGUUAAAGAUGUUGUUGAUUUAGCUAUGAAGAAGAAUCUGAUAUUCUGAUUAAGAGCUCUUGUUGUCUAAGAAGAAAAGAAUUGAUGAAUUAUCAUUCAUAAAAUUGGGCUUCUUCAUAUAAUAAACAAAAUUUCGGCCCCAUACAAAAUCAAGGCCCAACCUCCAUCAUUUAUCUUUUAAAUUUUGCCUCAGUGUCAAAUUAAAAGGCAUCAAAUUCAACUCAAUUUCUUUAGAAGACAUUCAAAUUAAAUCCAUGGCACUUUAGAUAUUCCACCGGUUAUCUUGUUAUAUUUAUGGUUGAAGUCACUAUGUGGAAAAUAGGACCUAAUGGUAAAAAACAUGAAUCAAACUUUCAAUAUUUUCAGAAAGAGGACUAUAUAUUACGAAAUUUGAAAAUAAGGACUAUAUUCAACAAAGUAAUGAAUCAAUCGUAGAUCUUGAUAAUCUAAGAGCUGAAAAUGGUUCUUAUUUUAUAUUCUAAGAAGUGUUUUUAUUUUAGCUCAUCCCAUCCAACUAAUAUCUAAAAAAUUGUGGUAAGAUAUAAACAGUAGAAUGAAUCAAUUAAAUAGACCAAAUCGUUAAUUGAAUAAUUAAAUAUAAUAUAUAUUAUAUUUAUAUUUUUUAUUUUAUCAAAUAAAAUUAUAUUAAUUAUGCGUACAAAGUGACAUUUAACAUAGUAUGAAAUUUUCUAACUGAGAUAAACGUGUUAAAAGAGUGGAAAAAGUGAGAAAAUAUAUGUAUUUCAUCAUUUUUUUAUUAAAGAAAAUGCAUCCCAAGACUUUAUCAAAUUGGUUCAAAACGAGAUAGAUAUAUAUAAUAUUGAGUCACAAAAGAUUAUACUGAACAUUGUCUGAAUCGCCAUCACAUGCUUUGCAUCGAGAUCAGGUAUUGAGAGCUGUUGGCUUUUGGUCCCAUUUGCCCAUUCCAACAUUAAUUUUCUCAUAUCCCCAUGCAAACUAUUAGUUUAUUACACCCUGAUUAUUUUCCUAUUCAUCUUGAAUAUAAGGAUUAGAAAUUUCACAUUCUUGAACUUUUUGCCUUACUCAACCUAUUUGGAGGAUUGGAAGUCUUCGCUUAAAUCAUGAUAUAAUUAACCUAAAGUUAGGAUGUUAUAUUUAUAAAAGACUUAAUAUAUUAAAAUACUCACUUCCAUAAUAUGUCUAUGUAAGGGGGUGGGUAUUUUUCAUAGACAUAUUAUGGGGGUGGGUACUUUUAAUUCCACCCCUUUAUAAAAUUGGUUUUGGCCUGAAAUUCAAUAAUUAUGGACAAAAAUACAUUGGAAAAAUAUAAUUUUGUUAUAAACUAGAGAUAAACAAGAGAAUAUAGAAGAUAAUACGAAUUCAGUGUAUUCAAUAUGAGGGCCAGAAGUUAGGGUUUUAGGGAGAUUUCUUGGUCAACACACAUAACAUAUAUCUAGAUGAUAUAUUUACAACAAAUUUUAUCUUUUAACUGUUGGACUUUUAUGUUGUACCCAAAUGCAAUCUUAUUGAUUGAAAANAACUUUCGUUUAUUUUAUCAUCAGUUCUAAUAUAUUUGAUCAUCUGCUGCUAAUAUUAAGGCCACAAUCGAAAUCUCUUUAACUUGAGCUUCAAAAUCCUCAAACCAAUUUUGCAGUCCGAUACAUAAAACUCUACCUCGAAUAGUUGACGAAACUCUAAUUCUGCAACGUCAAAUUGAUGGCGUAAUAAAAAGUUAUUUAGGAGGUUUUGUAGUUCAAGUCAAAGAUAUUUUGAUUGUGGUCUCAAUUUCAGUGAUCGAUAAUCAAAUAAGUCAAAAUUGAUGCAACAACAAUUAAAAGUGUGGCAGCCCGAUUUUGCUAAGGAUAGCUAAACCGAGAAAUCAACGAUUAAGGAUGAUCGGAUUAAAGAAGUGGUGAAAAAAAAGGCAUCGAUCAUAAACACUUAAAUCUCAUUUUAAAUAAUAACCAAAUUAAAUAUGCAAGAUGUUGGAGUUAAUUUUUAACUCCAUAAAACUUUCCUAAAGUUAUAAAAUUUAAUUGUAUUGUUUUGCCUUCUUCACGUGUUAUGUUGUGUUUACGAUAACAUCUUUUUACAUCACUUGUUGGUUUUUGUAAGGUUUCGGAGUAUUAUUCUUGAACUGAGUUUUGUUCUUUAGUGAGAGUGUCAUGUGUUUAAUAUCUAUGUCAUUGCAAAGGUAUUGAACGUGAAUUGUUCAUUCUCUAAUUAGUUUUCUUGACAUAUGGUGUCUUCUUCAUUUAUUUUUGUUCCGCUACUUUAUACUCCGCGUGCUGUUCCAAUAUUCCGCACAACAUUUUGAUCCAGACGAAGCAACACUUUCACAAGAAAUGAUAGCUAAUAAAAGCCGACAAGGUGCAUAGAUAAUUUAUAUAGGAAUUCUCUAAAAAAAAUUAUUUUAUUAAAGAGGUUUUACUAUAAAGUUUAGUAAUUUAUUUGAGUAUCAUUUUAAAGAGGUUUUACUCUCCAUCUUAAAAACAUAAAAUUUGUCCACUUUUUACAAUUUCGGACUGCAUUACUCUUAAUUUGGAUGGACUGGAUCGGAUUGGGCGUGUUGAUUCAGUGUUACUUUUUGGAUUGUACUAAUGUUAGUAAUUUGUUUUGUAAAUUAUAAUAAUUUAGAAUUAGAAUACAAAUGAUUUAUAAUUUAAUUUUAUUAGAAGUUUAAUUUGCCUUAAAUCCCUGAAAUUAAAAUUAAUUAUGUAAAAUAAACUUAACAAAUAAACAUCCCGAGGCAUUCAACGAUUAGUGAUGUGCACAUGGCGUCAACAAUGUCGAGGCAUUUGUGUGAAUCAAUGCAAUUUAAAAAUAAUAAUCCUUUAACAAUGGUGGAGACCCUCAAUCAACCACUCACUUUAACAAUUCUCUUCCACCUUCAAAAUCCUAAUCCUUCCCACCACCUACCGCCGUUGCCGUUGAUAUCUCAUAUUUCAAUCAAGUUAUGGCGGCUUUUGGUGCCGCAGCUUCUCUCAAGAAUACGAUUCUGCGUAUUCUACAAUCGUCUCGCAUUUCUCUCGUUUCCCACUCUCCACAAAUCUUGCAACCUGCCUACGACGAGAUGGAUCGAUUGCAGAAAGUUCUGCUCAAAUUGGACGAGACCAGCUGCAGCAAGAUCAGGACGAAGGUGAAUGCUUUGGAUGAACUCAUAAAAGAGGCAGUUUGGGAAUUCGAAGAUUUACUCGAAUCCCAUAUCUUACCUCAGAUUCUUCCACAACUCGAAAGCGAGAGAGACAACUUGUCUUUCUCUGUAGAUCUGCAGAGUCUGCAACACCAUGUUGAUUGCUUCGUCGAGAUGGUGAAGAUGAUGGAGGAAGAGUACACAAUGAAAUGGAGAAUAUGGCUGAAGAAGAAGGCGACCUAUUUCCUCAAGAAUUGAUUCUGGUGGAAUGAUCAAUCAAGAUGGUUGGAAUCUAUGAUUAAAAAGCCAGAGAAUCUUCUUAAGAAAACUAUUCGUUUUGGGAUGGCGGGUUGGAAAGACAACUCUUGCUAACAUAUAUUUGAAGAUCCAACAAUUCGGAGCCAUUUUGAGUUUCGAGCAUGGGUCAAAGUGGGCAGAAAAUGCGAACCCAAUGAACUAUUACGCUGCGUUCUAGCUCAAGUGGAUCCCAACACUUACCGAAUGCUUGCCCAAGGAGAUGAUGAUGAUGAGGAAUUAGUUGGAUUAUUGAAAGAAAAAUUGCAGGAUAAGAAAUGCCUCGUCAUUUUGGAUGAUGUUUGGGGGGUACCAGCAGCAAAUCGCUUGACAAAUUGCUUGCGAGAAAAGAAUACUCUUGGAGGGAUUCAGCUCUUACUUACAAGUAGACAAUGUAUAAAAUACAAGCAGCAUGGGGGCAUGAGAUUGAGCUUGUUGAAUGAAGAAGAUAGUAAGAAACUACUUGGUGAGAAGGUGUUUGGUGAGAAGGUGUUUAGUGAAGACGGUUUCCCUCGUCAACUUGAGGAACUGGGAGAGAAGAUUGCCAAGAAAUGUGAAGGUCUUCCUCUUAUGAUAGUCACAGUUGCAGAGCUCCUAUCAAAAGCCGACAAGACCCCAGAAUACUGGACUGAGGUAGCCUACAAACAACACAACUCACUUUUCGAGGAUGCAUAUAAUCAAAUAUCAGAGGUACUUUUCCCAAGUUAUGACUACUUACCCCAACAUUUAAAAAUGUUCUUCCUCUAUAUGGGAGCUUUCCCUCCUUAUGAUGAUCAGAGACCAUUCAAUAUUAAUUAUCUUUUGAGUGUUGAGGGAUUUCUUGAACUGAAUGAUGAAAAAAGUUUUGAAGGUUUCUGGGAAAAGCUUUCUCAGGAGUAUUAUCUUGUUCUCGACACAGAAAAUUCUUGGUAUUCGGGUAGAGUAUCGCGUGCAUUCUUGUUGGCAGCACUUAUGUAAGGUAGAAGCUAGUAGGAUCAAGUUUCUACAUGUCUUACGAGGUUGUGAUGAUGUUAUAAAAGACAGCGCCGCUUGUGUGCCCAUUAACAUUAUUCGGCUUCAAACAAGUGUAUGAUUUGAUAAAAAGUGAUUGUGCAUCCACUGCCCGUUCUCUCCUUUGUUAUGGUCCUUAUCACCCAUAUCCAAUCCAAUACAUGCCAUGGGUUUCAAGUUGCUCAGGGUACUAUAUGCUCUUGGAGUUCGAUUUUACCAUAUCCCAAUUGAAAUUUUGAAACUUGUUUGUUUGCGGUACCUUUCCCUAAGUGCAACGGGGAGCUCCCUCCUUCCAUAUCCAACCUUUUUCACCUUCAAUUCUUGAUUAUCAUCCACAUAUUAUUAAAAGCGUGGAGUUCGUCUUAUAUGCCUGUGCAAAUUUGGGACAUGCAAGAACUAGAGAUUAGAUGGAAGGACCUACCAACCCCUAAUACUGAGAUGCUACCUUGAACAAACUCACCACUUUAUGUGUGAGUGCAAAAGUUGUACAAGGAAGUUCUCAAAAGAAUUCCUAAUUUAAAGGAUUAAUUAGUGGAGUUGAAGCCUUAUGAUGAUGAUGAUGAUGAUGAAAGAAACCCAUCGAGUUGCUUGGGUUAUAUCUCCCAACUCCAGAAUUUGAGACUUAAUAUUGGGUUAAAUCCCGGAUAAAGUAUGAGUGUAAUACGAUUCCUCUUUCAAUGUUUCCAUCAAUCUCAAGGUGUUAACGUUGUCUGGUUUAGGGGGGUAUCCUUGGAAUUACAUGAAUGAAUUGGUUCGGCUCCAAAUCUCGAGAUUCUCAUUAUAUUAUGCAUUUCGAGGCCCAAAGUGGGACAUAACACCGGGGAGUUUUUUGAAACUUCUCGAACUUCAAAUUGAAGACACCGAUUUGGUGCGAUGGAGACCUCAACGUGGAAGCUUCCCGAUGCUUCGUAGACUAAGCAUGAGGCAUUGCUACAAAUUACAACAGCUCGAUUGGAUGUAUGAUCACUGGAUCACAAUUGUAUUAGUCGAGUGCAAUCCUUUAGCUGUCGCUUGUGCCAAGGAAUUAGAAGACAAGUUUUCAUUUGAACUUAUCGUCAAAUCUUCUUUUUGAGGUCAAGUGAGUCUGCAACUUGCCUAACAGGUUAGUGUUACUAUUUGCAAUAUAGUCUUAAUGUUUCUGUUAUGAUCACAGUGUUUGAGAUUGUCCAUCUAUCGAUUUUCAGGCAAAUGAGAGAGCCGAUCGAAGGGGUCAGACACCGCGUUAUCCCAUAAUUUCGAUUCACGUUGCAUUACCACAUAUUGUCGUAUGUAUUUAAGGAUUGUGAUUUGUAUUGGAUUUUGUUGAUGAUUAUGAAACCUGAGUGCUGAAUUGUGUUUGUAACCAAACUUGUUUUAAGUUGGAUUUGUGUGAAAACAUUAGUCCCUUCAGGAGGUUCGAGAAGUCUCUAAGAGGCCGCGAUGUUGAACAAUGGAUGAGCCGUCGCCGCUUACCUAAAGAUCUUCGAAGGUUCUAAAUUCUUUCUCUUUCUUUCUGAUGAUCAUUGUUGAUUAUCUGUAUGAGCGUUGUCUUCUUCGAAUAACUUGAAAAAUUGCCGAAAAAUUGUGACUCGGGCUAUUAAGUGAACAACGGAGAAGUAAUGAACAUCUUAUCUUUAACAGCUCCGAAUUUUUCAACUUUCAUGCCAAUAUACUAUUUAAUUUGUGGCUUCAUAUUUCAAAUUUAUGAGAUCCCUGAGUAGAAACUCAUCAAUAUGAACAUUAAUUUGUUGAGAUGAAGUCCCUGUUGUGUAUUUGGAUGAGCUUUUUCCAAUAGUCUUAUUGUCAUUUCCAUUUUUGAGAACCUUUGUUGUUGUUGUUGUCGUCGUCUUCUUUUUGUUAUUUUUAUUUCUUUUAAGGUUUAGUUUACAUUUUCUUUGAAAUUUAAAAGUUGUUUGCUGAAGAUUCAUGCCCUCUUAAACUUGACAAAGCCAAAAAAAAGAUUGGGGGCUGAUGACUACAGAAAAGCCAUGAUUUGUAUGAACAAAAUUAUUAUGCUAAUUAAGUUAUUUCUUCUCCAUUGUAAAUAUAUAACUGCAGGAGUUGUGAGGUUCAAAAUGUUGUUGAUUUAGCAAUGAAGUUAAUCUGAUUAAGAACUCUUGUUGCCAAAGAAGAAAAGAAUUGAUUAAUUAUCAUUCACAAAAUUUCUGAAGCAGUUAUCAAUUAACAUAGACCAAUCACCUUACUGGCGAGGAAUUGCAGCUCGAUGGUUCCACAAGUUGAUGAAACCUGAUUGCUAAAUUGUGUUUGUAACCAAAUUGUUGUAAGUUGGAUUUGUGUGAAAAUAGUAGCCCCUUGUUCAUGGAUUGUACUUUUUAUGAGUUAUGCAUGAUUUUCACUUUGCUUUGAUAUUGUGUGUAACCAGUUUGUGUUUGUUUUUAUAUAGCUUAAAAUUUUAAGAUUCUAGCAAUAUACUAAAUAAUUUCAGGCUUCAUAUUUUUAUUUUUAUUUGUUGCUUUCUGCAGGCUCUGGGACGCAGGUGUGCACUCGAUUCGAACCUCAGAUCAUUGGCCUUGGGCGUUAAAUAAGUGCUUAAAUACAAUUAAUUUACUUCAGGAGGUUCGAAAAGUCUUUAAGAGGCUGUGAUGUUGAACAAUCGUGAGCAUGCACUACACUGACUUAUACGUUCAGUGCAAUAAAUUGUAUGCGUUGUGCAAUAAAUUAACUUUGCAUGCGUUCAGAAGGUUCUCAUUUGAAUAUUAAAUCUAAUAAAGUGAUGUUAUUAACUCUGCAGAAGCCAUUGUGUAGAUGUUGCUAUUUGCUAACUCAUAUAAAUUUGUAUCAGUUAAUUUUAGAUCGAGUUAAAGAAAUCAAGAAGAAUCGUCUCUUCCACAUUCACUAUGUACAGCUGCAGCCAUGCCCAUCAACAGAGGAUUUUAAGAAAGUUAACCUGCAGUCUUUCACAGCCACGGCCUCUUCGCUACUCGCCUUAACUACUUAACUAUAUACUCCCUCCGUCCGCGAUAUCGUUUUCACAUUGUAGACGGUGCGGGUUUUAAGAAAAGUGGUGGAUAUGUAGUGAGUGGAGUUUGAGUCCCACUAUUGUUGUGAGUGGAAGUUUGUGGACUAUACUUCUAUAAAUGGAAGUGGAAACGAUAUCGCUGACGGACCGAAAUGGCAAAUGUGGAAACGAUAUUGCGGACGGAGGGAGUAUAUACUAUAGAAUUUAACUACUUAACUAGAUAAAUGAAAAUAAUAAUAACUCACUAUUAUAUAAUUAAUCACCGCACAUGAGGCGCUAAAAUAAAAGCACUUCUUAAAAUAUAAAAUAUGAACUAUUUUCAGAUCUUAGAUCAUCAAGAUCUAAGGGUGAUUCAUAUUUGAUGUAUGAAUUCAUGGUCGUGAUCAGUUCAAAUCAUAUGUCUCUGUUAAUUUAUUUGCUAUCACCAAGGGGCUAUCACCAAGAAGGGGAGAGUUUCUGAUUCUUCUAUCAAGCACAAGCUCCAUCGUAUCAUAAUCAAUGGCAUGUCCUCGGAUUUCCAAAACUCAGCACGCCAUGAUGAUAUGCAGGGCCCAGGUCUAGACACUUCUUCGCCUGUGGAGUUCCUGAAUAAAGUGAAGUAUGCUCAGUCUGGAGGACAGAUUCUGCAAAACUUUGUGAUCAACUCCUCUAACUCUACCGAUGCAGCCCAUGCUAUGUCGGUUGUGGCCUCUUCAAAAAUGAAGAAAAAAUGGGGCGAUAUGUUGGACGAUGAAGAUGACGAUGUUUUAGACGAGGACGACCCUCUUAAAAUGUUCUCUUAGUCUUGGUUUCUUUUUUGGUUACCCGGGGUUUCUUGCGGGUGCUUUUGCUUGUUUCCUUAUGUCUCUGGUCUCUCUUUUUUUUCUUUUCUUUUUAAUAAAAUUUCUAUUUCAGCAGAUCAGUUCAAAUCAUAGGUAGCAAAAUUUUUAAUUUUUGCAAUUCAGACAUUUACACGGAAAAUUCAUACAUUUAAAUAUAAUUUCUCUAAGAUUAAAUCUCAACCGUUAGAUUAUGGAUAGAUCAAUGGUGUAAAUCUAUUCCUAUUUUAUACUCCUUUAAAAGUUGUUUUCAUCAUUGCCCUCCCCUUAAGGCACAUAUCAUAUAUACACUAAGUUGUAUAUAAAUAUUAUCAUACUUUAAUAUGUAUGUGUUUGAAAUUUGGUAUGACCGCUAGGUUUUUUAAAAAAGCCAACACAAUUUCUAUAAAUUAAUAACUUUGGGAUCUAAAAAGUUUUUUUUUUUUUUUUUUUUAGAUACUAAAUUAAAAUCUUAAAAUUNCAGAGGAAUCGUCCCGCCAGAGGAUUCCUACCGCCAGAGGAAUCCUCCCGCCAGAGGAAUCCUCCCGCCAGCGGAAUCCUUCCGCCAGAGGAAUCCUCCCGCCAGAGGAAUCUUGGUUUUCCAGAGCAGAGGAGCGGACGUGCAGAGCAGAGCGUGCGGAGCUGGUUUUCUCGCUAGCGUUAUUUUAGUCUUGCUGAUCAAGUUUCUUUAGUUUCCUUGUUUUUACGUUUUAUGUCCUUCUUUAAAUUAGGGUUUUAUUUUGCCUAUAUAUGGCGGCUGUAUGGAACAUUUGAAAAUUAACUUUGAUGAUAUAUGAAAUUUGUGAGAUUAUUCUCUCUUGAGAACUUCGAGUUCUUCCUGGAUUUUGCCCAAGCAAAUCCAACCUAUCGGCGUAUCGGCGGGUUCAUCAUCCCUCGUCGUAUGUCAUUCACCGUCCCCGAGUUACUGUAUCAACUGCACGUUGGGGUUUAGGGAUUCGUUCGCCUAAAUCACUUCCGUCGGGUUUAGAUCCAGGGGUUUUGGGAUUUCCAUCUUCUCAUUCCACCUAUCGACGAAUCGACGAGUUCAUCAUCCCUCGCCGUGUGUCAUUCAGCGUCUCCGAGUUACUGUAUCAAUCGUGCGUUGGGGUUUAGGGAUCCGUUCUCUAGAUCAUUUCGUAGAUUAGAUACAGGGGUUUUGAGAUAUUCCACACUCUAUCUGUCUUUUAAUUUCCGUUUAUUUCAGAUCAGAUCGUUUAAAGAUCUCAUCGAUCUUUUGUUCAUAUCAGUCGGGCCCAACGCGAUGAAGUUUAAUCUACCCACAUAAUUAUGAUUGACAGAAAAAUUUACCAAGAUUAAGUAUAAAGCUCCAAAAAAGCAUAUAUAUGCAAUGCAUAUAUAUUUACAAAAUUUCACAUUUCGUUAUUACUUAAUAAAAUAAAAGUAAUAGAUUUAAAUAUCAUUAUAUUAUUAAUAAAAUAUUAAAUUUGCAACACAUACAAUAUUUCCCGUGCAUCGCAUAGGAAGUGUACUAGUAAUAAUAAUAAUACUCCCUCCGUCCCCGUCAUAAGUGAAACGUUUCUUUUCGGCACGAGAUUUAAUGAGUCAGUGUUUAGGGGUAUAAGAGUGUUUUUAGUUUUAUACUUAAGUGAGAAUAUAAUAAUUAAUAAUUUUGAAUUAAAUUUAAAUUCAAACUUUAAUUUAUUACUUACAUUUAUUUUCAAAUUUUAUUUUCUAUUUUAUUUAAUAAUUUUUUUUUACAUACCCACUUCUCAAAGGAAUGUUUUAUUUAAUAAUAAUAAUAAUAAUAAUAAUACACAAUGCAAUAGACGUACUAAACAAAAAUUAUAAUUUGUAUUAUAAAGAGUACAAUAAUAUAGUAUUAAAUAUAUAUAUAUAGGUAACUAGGUAAGAAUUCUGAGAAAUUAAAAAAAAAAUUGCUUAAGAAAAGUUAAAAAUUAAAAAUCAUGUAAAAAUUGCACUAGUUUCCUUACUUUUCUUGUUCAUGACGUCGUAGUAAGGGGGCCCAUCUUAUCUUAAUUAUCAGUGCUGCUACUAUUCUUGAUUUUUGAAGCAGCUCUCAUAAUUUUCAACUGGUUGAUUGCUCAAUCUUCAUAAUUUCUUGCUACUAUUCUUCCACACAAUUGCCUUCAAAAUCAUCAAUAGAUCCAUUUUACCAUUACAUUAUACACAUCUUUUCAAAUCAUUUACUAAAGUUCUUGAAUGUGGCUUUGAAUGUUUCUGAAAUUGUAUCAAAAGCAGCUGCCGCCGCCGUCGAGAGGUAAGCAGAGAGCUGAGAUCUAUCAUUUCUUUCAUCUGCGUUUGCUUAUUAUAAUUCCUUCUUCUUCUGCGUUUCUUUCUUAGGCGACUGAAUUUUAUUCUGGGCUAAUUGCAGUUUAGUUCAAGCUUCAUUUUGGAGGAAAAUUGCAGACCUAAGCAAUUUCAUUUCAACAAUAUAUCGUAUCUCAGCUGAUAAUUUGGGUAUGGCGGCUUAUGGUGCAGCCACUUCUCUCAAGAAUACGAUUCUGCGUAUUCUACAAUCGUCUCGCAUUUCUCUAGUUUCCCACUCUCCGCAAAUCUUGCAACCUGCCUACGACCAGAUGGAUCGAUUGCAGAGAAUUCUGCUCCAAUUGGACGAGACCAGCUGCAGCAAGAUCAGGACGAAGGUGAAUGCUGCGGAUGAACUCAUAAAAGAGGCAGUUUGGGAAUUCGAAGAUUUACUCGAAUCCCAUAUCUUACCUCAGAUUCUUCCACAACUCGAAAGCGAGAGACACAACUUGUCAUUCUCUGUAGAUCUGCAGAGUCUGCAACACCAUGUUGAUUGCUUCGUCGAGAUGGUGAAGAUGAUGGAGGUGGAGUACUUCAUUGAAAUGGAGAAUAUGGCUGAAGAAGAAGGCGAGCCUAUUUCCUCAAGAAUCGAUUUUGGUGGAAUCAAGUCAAAGAUGGUUGGAUUAUCUUAUGAAUUUCAAAGAGCCAGAGAUAACCUUCUUGAAGAUAAACACUAUUCGAUUAUUGGGAUGGCGGGCGUUGGAAAGACAACUCUUGCUAAGCAUAUUUUUGAAGAUCCAUCAAUUCGGAGCCAUUUUGAGUUUCGAGCAUGGGU